GAUGAACGCUGGCGGCGUGCCUAAUACAUGCAAGUCGAGCGAACGGACGAGAAGCUUGCUUCUCUGAUGUUAGCGGCGGACGGGUGAGUAACACGUGGAUAACCUACCUAUAAGACUGGGAUAACUUCGGGAAACCGGAGCUAAUACCGGAUAAUAUUUUGAACCGCAUGGUUCAAAAGUGAAAGACGGUCUUGCUGUCACUUAUAGAUGGAUCCGCGCUGCAUUAGCUAGUUGGUAAGGUAACGGCUUACCAAGGCAACGAUGCAUAGCCGACCUGAGAGGGUGAUCGGCCACACUGGAACUGAGACACGGUCCAGACGCCUACGGGAGGCAGCAGUAGGGAAUCUGCCGCAAUGGGCGAAAGCCUGACGGAGCAACGCCGCGUGAGUGAUGAAGGUCUUCGGAUCGUAAAACUCUGUUAUUAGGUAAGAACAUAUGUGUAAGUAACUGUGCACAUCUUGACGGUACCUAAUCAGAAAGCCACGGCUAACUACGUG
rnacentral:rRNA from 1 species